rnacentral:rRNA from 1 species
AUUGAACGCUGGCGGCAGGCCUAACACAUGCAAGUCGAACGAGUGGCGGACGGGUGAGUAAUGUCUGGGAAACUGCCCGAUGGAGGGGGAUAACACCUGGAAACGGUAGCUAAUAUCCCGUAUCCUCUGAUGUGCCCCGAUGGGAUUUGCUGGUGGUGGUGGUAACGGCUCACCUAGGCGACGAUCCCUAGCUGGUCUGAGAGGAUGACCAGCCACACUGGAACUGAGACACGGUCCAGACUCCUACGGGAGGCAGCAGUGGGGAAUAUUGCACAAUGGGCGCAAGCCUGAUACAGCCAUGCCGCGUGUAUGAAGAAGGCCUUCGGGUUGUAAAGUACUUUCAGCGGGGAGGCGUUACCCGCAGAAGAAGCACCGGCUAACUCCGUGCCAGCAGCCGCGGUAAUAC